rnacentral:hammerhead_ribozyme from 1 species
AUUCAGCUGACGAGUCCUAAAUAGGACGAAACGCGUGUCCUGGAU